rnacentral:rRNA from 1 species
AGUGAACGCUGGCGGUAGGCCUAACACAUGCAAGUCGAACGGCAGCACAGUAAGAGCUUGCUCUUACGGGUGGCGAGUGGCGGACGGGUGAGGAAUACAUCGGAAUCUACUUUUUCGUGGGGGAUAACGUAGGGAAACUUACGCUAAUACCGCAUACGACCUACGGGUGAAAGCAGGGGAUCUUCGGACCUUGCGCGAUUGAAUGAGCCGAUGUCGGAUUAGCUAGUUGGCGGGGUAAAGGCCCACCAAGGCGACGAUCCGUAGCUGGUCUGAGAGGAUGAUCAGCCACACUGGAACUGAGACACGGUCCAGACUCCUACGGGAGGCAGCAGUGGGGAAUAUUGGACAAUGGGCGCAAGCCUGAUCCAGCCAUACCGCGUGGGUGAAGAAGGCCUUCGGGUUGUAAAGCCCUCUUGCUGGGAAAGAAAAGCAGCAGGUUAAUACCCCGCUGUUCUGACGGUACCCAAAGAAUAAGCACCGGCUAACUUCGUG